CCCGUGUCUGGGAGAGGCGGCGCACGGAGAUCUGGAGUCUUACGCAGGGCGCUUACUCUGUGCCGCACCUCCUCAGGGGACUGUCUGGCUGCAGAGGGUCCGGCUGUCAGACGACAUGCAGCUCUUGACACUUGCCAGCGGCGGGAAUGUUCCAAGCCAACUUUUACUCCAGUCUCAUGGAACAAUGUGAUGGCCAGGCCGAUACCUGGGAGGAAGAGGAGAGCUGCUGACGCACAGCUGACGGAGACACUAUUGCGCACCCGAAGGACUGCACAAACUCAGAAAUUGAGGUCUGCGAGCAGGAGAUGUGGCAGAAGUGGUCACGAGUGUGUCGUCUGGAUUCUGAAACACACACAGAAACCUGGCGUACGUCGGUCAGUUGGUCUCACAUUCUCUGUGGGGCUCCAUGCUCUUCUGACAGCAAGCGUGCUCCAGUUCCAGCCUCAGAGGGAGUUAUGAAUGGAUCCGGACACACUUCUCCAUCCAUAAGGCCAGUCUGCGUUCUGACGAAGUCAAAGGCAGCUGCCCUUGUUUCCAGACGCCUUCAGAGCCGUUGGGCUGCUCACCAUGGUGGCUAGUGAAAUGUGAGUGUCCCCUCUCCGUAUCAUGCCUCGCCCUCGCCUUGCAUCGUUGCCUGCAUGUUAGCAAUUAAGUCAGCCUUCCCGAAAGGGUUCCUGAGCAGUCAUCCCAUGAGCGCGGCUCUCUGGUUCCUUGGGGAGGCGUGUGCGUGAGCAGGCAGCUGAGAGGAGACUGGUGAGCCCUCGUACUCGGAUCACACAGAUAACAGGGCAGCUGUGUACUCAGUGCCGUUCUGCGCAACACCCCCUCUUGCGCAAGAGCCAUUCCUCCUGAAAAAAUGAGGAAAACCGGCUCUUGCGCA